UGUAUGUAUUUAGAAUAUGUCAAACGUUUUUCUGAAAUCUCAAGAGAUCAGUGGAAAACUUCGUAGCCUGUUUAAGACUCGGUAGAUCUCUCAUUCUCUCGUGUAUUUGUCCCCCCCCCCUCUCCCCCUUCUUUCUAUCUCCUUCAACUCAGUAAAACGGGAUUCUUUCCUUCUCUGGUCUGCCGUUCUCCGUAUACUUGUGUGUUGGUGGAUUGCUUGGCGUCCAUGAAGCCUUUUGCGACGUUGCCAUGCGUAUGCCAGUAAUGCAUCGUUGCCGGGCUCUUGCACUGUUCCGUUCCUUUUUGCUCGUUCACACGCUCUACCCGUCUCUCUCGUACCUUCAUAUGUGCGCGGCCAGGAUCAACCAUAUACCCUCCUCCGACAACGGCCGACAUCCCUACCCGUACUAUUCACAGCCCCUCCCGGCCCCUCCUCUUCAUUUCGCUGCUCUUCCCUCUACCCAACCCUUCUCUUCCCUUCUACCCGGCCGCAAAGGCAGCGAGUUUGCUUGUGCCCGAUACAGUGCCGUAUACAUCGCUCUUAACUUACUUGCACCUACGCUUUUGAAAGUCGAAUUUUAUUAUUAGUAGAAAUUAACACACCAACUGCCGCUGAUAUGACUAUUUUUUCAGGAUUGAAGUAUAGUUAGAUAAGAGCAAUUAUCAAUGAUUUUUAAGAAAAGAAGAAUUUCUUGCACUUAUUUGAAUUGAUGAUAAUAAAUGAUGCAAGGAUUUUAGUAAAAUGAUUGGGAAGAUUCUGAUUACGUGUAUCUUUCUUAAAGAAUGAAAAAUUUCGAAGACGAAUGUUCAAUGUUACAUCGUAAAAUGUAGAUAUUCUUGAAUAUAUGUUUUAGUUAAAUAUGUAAGAAAGGAAAUUUGAUAUGUAUGUUAAAGAUUAAAAGUUACUCCUAUUAUA